rnacentral:rRNA from 1 species
GACGGGGGGGGGCAAGUGUUCUUCGGAAUGACUGGGCGUAAAGGGCACGUAGGCGGUGAAUCGGGUUGAAAGUGAAAGUCGCCAAAAAGUGGCGGAAUGCUCUCGAAACCAAUUCACUUGAGUGAGACAGAGGAGAGUGGAAUUUCGUGUGUAGGGGUGAAAUCCGUAAAUAUACGAAGGAACGCCAAAAGCGAAGGCAGCUACG